GCUUUUGACACUGUCUCCCAGAACAUCCUCAUAGGAGCUGUGAAGGAAAUGCAGUCCACAGCUCAGGAGGCUACACUCAAGGGGGAGCCAUUAGCUGCUCUGUGUGACAGACAGGUGCCUCUGAUUGCUACCCAGCUCCUGAUCAUUACCUUCCUAAGGAGCUCCUAGAAGUAACCAGGAACUGAGUUCUCCUUGAAGAGCAGGGUUUCUCAUGAGGAGAAGAGGAGAAGAAAAGUGAUUUGCAAGUCAGAGUAAAGGUCACUGUACAUGUGAUUGUAAAAUGUUGCAUGCAAAAAUAAGGAGGAGGCAAGAUACUGCAGGUGCCAGUGACUUAUUGAGGAAAUGCUAAAAUGUCCUCAGAUCCAUCAAUGAGCCAGACUUCAGCUACACUGAACCUGCGACAACCUUGAGCAUACUAUUUCUGUACAGUAACACAAAAUAAGAUGAUUAUAAAUUAAUUUUUUUGUAGAAGAUUAUCAACAAUCAUACAGAGUAACAAUUUCAUAAAAAAUUAUAAGAGAGAUUUGUGCUUUGAUGUAAAAAUCCCUUGAGCCUCUAUACUGAUCAUCAUUAGCCUUGACAAAUUCAUUGGGCUACAUUAGGUAACCUCAUUAACCAACCACAGUUUACCUCAAGUCAUGGAUGCUUUUUCAAGGUUAAAACUGAUAAUCACUUUUGGUUUUAAGACUGAGGCUGAGAAAAAAGGUUUUUAAUUUCCCAUAGAUCAAAAGCAGAGGAUUUCUUAUGUUCUAUAAUGUUUUUGCUUUGUUCUCCUGGAAGUAAAAAAAUCUAAUUUUGGCAAGAAACGUGGGAAUUUAAAAUUAAUAAUGUCUCUUCUUCUCAAAAUAUUUCUCUUGAUUUUGUAGACAUGUACUUGAUAACUCGUAAAAACAAUAAUAAUUUCAGUGCCAAAGUACAAAUAAGAGAAAACAGCCUGAGGUAGAGGUUUUUCAAAGAUACAGAUAAUAUAGAAACUGAGAAAUAU